UACGAAGGGGGCUAGCGUUGCUCGGAAUCACUGGGCGUAAAGGGCGCGUAGGCGGCUUAUCAAGUCGGGGGUGAAAGCCCGUGGCUCAACCGCGGAAUGGCCUUCGAUACUGGUAGGCUUGAGACCGGAAGAGGACAGCGGAACUGCGAGUGUAGAGGUGAAAUUCGUAGAUAUUCGCAAGAACACCAGUGGCGAAGGCGGCUGUCUGGUCCGGUUCUGACGCUGAGGCGCGAAAGCGUGGGGAGCAAACAGG
rnacentral:rRNA from 1 species